rnacentral:miRNA from 1 species
UCCAGAGCAAUAACAAUCCUGU